rnacentral:rRNA from 1 species
CCUACGGGUGGCAGCAGUGAGGAAUAUUGGUCAAUGGGCGCGAGCCUGAACCAGCCAAGUAGCGUGAAGGAUGACUGCCCUACGGGUUGUAAACCUCUUUUAUAAGGGAAUAAAGUGAGGCACGUGUGACUUAUUGAGUGUACUUUAUGAAUAAGGAUCGGCUAACUCCGUGCCAGCAGCCGCGGUAAUACGGAGGAUCCGAGCGUUAUCCGGAUUUAUUGGGUUUAAAGGGAGCGUAGGUGGGUUGUUAAGUCAGUGGUGAAAGUUUGCGGCUCAACCGUAAAAUUGCAAUUGAUACUGGAAGCCUUGAGUACAGUAGAGGUAGGCGGAAUGCGUGGUGUAGCGGUGAAAUGCUUAGAUAUCACGAAGAACUCCGAUUGCGAAGGCAGCUUACUAACCCGCCACUGACAUUGAUGCUCGAAAGUGUGGGUAUCAAACAGGAUUAGAUACCCGAGUAGUC